rnacentral:rRNA from 1 species
AUUGAACGCUGGCGGUAGGCUUAACACAUGCAAGUCGUGCGAGAAAGUACCUUCGGGUGCGAGUAGAGCGGCGGACGGGUGAGUAACGCGUAGGAAUCUACCUAGUAGAAGGGGAUAGCCCGGGGAAACUCGGAUUAAUACCGUAUACCUCCUUAGGGAGAAAGAGGGCUUAGCUUUGAUGCUCUCGCUAUUAGAUGAGCCUGCGUAAGAUUAGCUUGUUGGUGAGGUAAUGGCUCACCAAGGCGACGAUCUUUAGCUGGUCUGAGAGGACGAUCAGCCACAUUGGGACUGAGACACGGCCCAGACUCCUACGGGAGGCAGCAGUGGGGAAUAUUGGACAAUGGGCGCAAGCCUGAUCCAGCCAUACCGCGUGUGUGAAGAAGGCUUUCGGGUUGUAAAGCACUUUAAGUAAGGAGGAAAAGAUUGUAGUUAAUACCUGCAAUCCGUGACGUUACUUACAGAAUAAGGACCGGCUAAUUCCGUGCCAGCCGCCGCCGUAACAC